rnacentral:rRNA from 1 species
CCUACGGGAGGCUGCAGUAGGGAAUCUUGCGCAAUGGGCGAAAGCCUGACGCAGCCAUGCCGCGUGAAUGAUGAAGGUCUUAGGAUUGUAAAAUUCUUUCACCGGGGAAGAUAAUGACGGUACCCGGAGAAGAAGCCCCGGCUAACUUCGUGCCAGCAGCCGCGGUAAUACGAAGGGGGCUAGCGUUGCUCGGAAUUACUGGGCGUAAAGGGCGCGUAGGCGGACAGUUUAGUCAGAGGUGAAAGCCCAGGGCUCAACCUUGGAAAUGCCUUUGAUACUGGCUGUCUUGAGUUCGGGAGAGGUGAGUGGAAUGCCGAGUGUAGAGGUGAAAUUCGUAGAUAUUCGGCGGAACACCAGUGGCGAAGGCGACUCACUGGCCCGAUACUGACGCUGAGGCGCGAAAGCGUGGGGAGCAAACAGGAUUAGAUACCCUGGUAG